GUGCCAGCAGCCGCGGUAAUACGGAGGAUCCAAGCGUUAUCCGGAAUCAUUGGGUUUAAAGGGUCCGUAGGCGGGCAGUUAAGUCAGUGGUGAAAGUCUUCCGCUCAACGGGAGAACUGCCAUUGAUACUGAUUGUCUUGAGUUAUUAUGAAGUGGUUAGAAUGAGUAGUGUAGCGGUGAAAUGCAUAGAUAUUACUCAGAAUACCGAUUGCGAAGGCAGAUCACUAAUAAUAUACUGACGCUGAUGGACGAAAGCGUAGGUAGCGAACAGGAUUAGAUACCCUGGUAGUCUACGCCGUAAACGAUGGUUACUAGCUGUUCGGCCCGAUUAAGGGCUGAGUGGUUAAGCGAAAGUGAUAAGUAACCCACCUGGGGAGUACGUUCGCAAGAAUGAAACUCAAAGGAAUUGACGG
rnacentral:rRNA from 1 species